rnacentral:rRNA from 1 species
AUUGAACGCUGGCGGCAGGCCUAACACAUGCACGUCGAGCGGAGCGGCGGACGGGUGAGUAAUGCCUAGGAAUCUGCCUGGUCGUGGUGGAUAACGUCCGGAAACGGGCGCUAAUACCGCAUACUAUCAGAUGAGCCUAGGUCGGUUUAGCUAGUUGGUGGGGUAAAGGCCUACAAAGGCGACGAUCCGUAACUGGUGUGAGAGGAUGAUCAGUCACACUGGAACUGAGACACGGUCCAGACUCCUACGGGAGGCAGCAGUGGGGAAUAUGGGACAAUGGGCGAAAGCCUGAUCCAGCCAUGCCGCGUGUGGGAAGAAGGUCUUCGGAUUGUAAAGCACUUUAAGUUGGGAGGCGUUACCAACAGAAUAAGCACCGGCUAACUUCGUGCCAGCCGCCGCGGUAAUAC